rnacentral:misc_RNA from 1 species
GAUGAAGAACGCAGCGAAAUGCGAUAAGUAGUGUGAAUUGCAGAAUUCAGUGAAUCAUCGAAUCUUUGAACGCACAUUGCGCCCCUUGGUAUUCCAUGGGGCAUGCCUGUUCGAGCGUCAUUACAACCCUCAGGCCCCCGGGCCUGGCGUUGGGGAUCGGCGGAAGCCCCCUGCGGGCACAACGCCGUCCCCCAAAUACAGUGGCGGUCCCGCCGCAGCUUCCAUUGCGUAGUAGCUAACACCUCGCAACUGGAGAGCGGCGCGGCCACGCCGUAAAACACCCAACUUCUGAAUGUUGACCUCGAAUCAGGUAGGAAUACCCGCUGAACUUAAGCAUAUCAAUAAGCGGAGGA